rnacentral:rRNA from 1 species
CCCUUAGAUGUUCUGGGCCGCACGCGUGCUACACUGACCGGCGCAACAAGUUUCUUUCCUUGGCUCGAUAGGCCUGGGUAAUCUUUGAACGCCGGUCGUGAUGGGGAUAGAUCCUUGCAAUUUUUGAUCUUCAACGAGGAAUUCCUAGUAAAUGCGAGUCAUCAUCUCGCGUUGAUUACGUCCCUGCCCUUUGUACACACCGCCCGUCGCACCUACCGAUUGAAUGGUCCGGUGAAGCCUCGGGAUUGCGAAUGCUUCGUGCGGACGCGAGAACUUGGCUAAACCUUACCACUUAGAGGAAGGAGAAGUCGUAACA